AUAAACGCACCGAUUCUCGUUCGAUCACUGAAGCUAAGCAUUUUAUUGCCAGGUCUGUACUUAGAUGGGGUCCACCUGGGAACACCUG